rnacentral:RNase_P_RNA from 1 species
GUUUCCCGGGUGACCGGGAAAGCUUGGUAAACCCCAUCCGGAGCAAGACCAAAUAGGGAAACGUUGAGGGCGGCCCGUCCGAAGUUUCCGGGUAGGUUGCUUGAGGCAGCAGGCAACUGCUGUCCCAGAUGAAUGAUCAUCGCUCUUUCGGGGUAACCGGGAAGAGAGACAGAACUCGGCUUACAGAUCUACUCUGACG